UACGAAGGGGGCUAGCGUUGCUCGGAAUCACUGGGCGUAAAGGGUGCGUAGGCGGGUCUUUAAGUCAGGGGUGAAAUCCUGGAGCUCAACUCCAGAACUGCCUUCGAUACUGGCGAUCUUGAGUCCGGAAGAGGUGAGUGGAACUCCUAGUGUAGAGGUGGAAUUCGUAGAUAUUAGGAAGAACACCAGUGGCGAAGGCGGCUCACUGGUCCGGUACUGGACGCUGAGGUGCGAAAGCGUGGGGAGCAACAGG
rnacentral:rRNA from 1 species